AAAUAAGAAACAAAAUUUUGUAUAUUAAUUUCGACCUAAUACUAUGAUGAUCUUAAUCAUCCUUAUUUA
rnacentral:tRNA from 1 species